GCCCUUUUUAUGUUGUACUACUAGUGAACAUGCGCAAAAAGCAGUGCAAUGUUAAAAGGGCAU
rnacentral:pre_miRNA from 1 species